rnacentral:rRNA from 1 species
AGAAUCAACGCUGGCGGCGUGCCUAACACAUGCAAGUCGAACGAGAAAGUGGAGCAAUCCAUGAGUAAAGUGGCGACCGGGUGAGUAACACGUGACUAACCUACCCUCGAGUGGGGAAUAACUCCGGGAAACCGGAGCUAAUACCGCAUAACAUCUUCGGAGCGCAAGCUCUGUUGAUCAAAGGAGCAAUUCGCUUGAGGAGGGAGUCGCGGCUGAUUAGCUAGUUGGCGGGGUAAUGGCCCACCAAGGCUUAGAUCGGUA